rnacentral:tRNA from 1 species
CAAAUUAGGGCUGGAAUGGAGCAUUUUAUUUACAUUAAAGGGGAUUAUCGUGUGAUUCGAUUUAAUUUGA